UGCAGUCGAGCGAACUGAUUAGAAGCUUGCUUCUAUGACGUUAGCGGCGGACGGGUGAGUAACACGUGGGCAACCUGCCUGUAAGACUGGGAUAACUUCGGGAAACCGAAGCUAAUACCGGAUAGGAUCUUCUCCUUCAUGGGAGAUGAUUGAAAGAUGGUUUCGGCUAUCACUUACAGAUGGGCCCGCGGUGCAUUAGCUAGUUGGUGAGGUAACGGCUCACCAAGGCAACGAUGCAUAGCCGACCUGAGAGGGUGAUCGGCCACACUGGGACUGAGACACGGCCCAGACUCCUACGGGAGGCAGCAGUAGGGAAUCUUCCGCAAUGGACGAAAGUCUGACGGAGCAACGCCGCGUGAGUGAUGAAGGCUUUCGGGUCGUAAAACUCUGUUGUUAGGGAAGAACAAGUACAAGAGUAACUGCUUGUACCUUGACGGUACCUAACCAGAAAGCCACGGCUAACUACGUGCCAGCAGCCGCGGUAAUACGUAGGUGGCAAGCGUUAUCCGGAAUUAUUGGGCGUAAAGCGCGCGCAGGCGGUUUCUUAAGUCUGAUGUGAAAGCCCACGGCUCAACCGUGGAGGGUCAUUGGAAACUGGGGAACUUGAGUGCAGAAGAGAAAAGCGGAAUUCCACGUGUAGCGGUGAAAUGCGUAGAGAUGUGGAGGAACACCAGUGGCGAAGGCGGCUUUUUGGUCUGUAACUGACGCUGAGGCGCGAAAGCGUGGGGAGCAAACAGGAUUAGAUACUCUGGUAGUCCACGCCGUAAACGAUGAGUGCUA
rnacentral:rRNA from 2 species